UAUAUAUAAAUAUAAAUAAUAAUAAUAAUAAUAUUAAAGAUACAGUGCUGAAUUAAACUAGAUAUUUUUUAUACAUAGCAAAAAAAUAAAAAAUAAUAAUGUAUAACAUAUUAUAAUUUUUUUAAACAUAACCUUGUAAGUAUCUUUUUGAAGAAUUUCAGCUUAUACACAAGAAUGUAGACAAUAUUUAACAACUUUAUUUUAUUCAUUUACAUCUCUGAGUGGAAAAUUCUUUAAGUCUGAUAAUAAAUAAUACAAGCAUAUAUUGAUACUUAUUUAAAACAUUAGUUAUCUUUAAAUAGUUUGUAUUUUCUACAAAUAGAAGAUUUUUUUUGAUUUUAAAAAAAUUAAUUUAAUGAAAACACUAAUUUGGGCCUAAAAUUCCAUUUGAUCAAAUAAAAUAACUUGCCAAAGUUAUAUAUUUUUUUCAAAUUGGUAUUUAUAGGAUAAAAAAAUAUACAUAUAUCAAAUUCAAAAUCUAAAAAUAACUAAAUAUAGAAUUAUAUAUAUAUAUAUAUAUAUUUAGCUAAUUUUAUUUUUAUAACUUCUAUAUUUUAUUAUUAAAAUAGUUGUAAUAUAAAAAUCCAAUAUCACCUCAAAUAAUUUUAUUUAUUAUAUUUUCUAGAAAAUUAAUUUAAUUUUUAUUUUUAUGUAUUAAUCUAUAAAAAUUUAAGCAUUAAGAAAAAAAAUGUAUGAUUACUAAUGUAUUUUAAAUUCAUAUUACUGUAAAAAAAAGUUAUAAUCUGAGCUUUUUUUAAAGAAAUAUUUAAGAAAUUUUUUUAAUUAUAUAUUUGGAUUAAAAAAAUAUUUAUUCUCCAAAAAAAAGCAUAUAAAGUCUUAAGGGCAUAAUAAUAAAAAAACUCAUAUAUAAUAGACAUGA
rnacentral:lncRNA from 1 species